UACGUAGGGGGCGAGCGUUGUCCGGAAUCAUUGGGCGUAAAGCGCGUGUAGGCGGCCCGGUAAGUCCGCUGUGAAAGUCCAGGGCUCAACCCUGGGAUGCCGGUGGAUACUGUCGGGCUCGAGUCCGGAAGAGGCGAGUGGAAUUCCUGGUGUAGCGGUGAAAUGCGCAGAUAUCAGGAGGAACACCUAUUGCGAAGGCAGCUCGCUGGGACGUAACUGACGCUGAGACGCGAAAGCGUGGGGAGCAAACAGG
rnacentral:rRNA from 1 species